rnacentral:rRNA from 1 species
GACGAACGCUGGCGGUGUGCUUAACACAUGCAAGUCGAACGGUAAGGCCCUUUCGGGGGUGCACGAGUGGCGAACGGGUGAGUAACACGUGAGUAACCUGCCCUCAUCUCUGGGAUAACAGUCGGAAACGGUUGCUAAUACUGGAUAUGAGCUUGCAAGGCAUCUUGUGGGUUGGAAAGAUUUUUUUGGUUGGGGAUGGACUCGCGGCCUAUCAGCUUGUUGGUGAGGUAGUGGCUCACCAAGGCUUCGACGGGUAGCCGGCCUGAGAGGGCGACCGGCCACAUUGGGACUGAGAUACGGCCCAAACUCCUACGGGAGGCAGCAGUGGGGAAUAUUGCACAAUGGACGGAAGUCUGAUGCAGCAACGCCGCGUGCGGGAUGACGGCCUUCGGGUUGUAAACCGCUUUCAAUUGUGACGAAGCUUUUUGUGACGGUAGCAGUAGAAGAAGCACCGGCUAACUACGUG